AGGGAAAUAGCUCAAUGGUAGAGCACAUGCCUAGCAUGCGUAAGGUCCUGGAGUCAAUCCCCAGUACCUCCG
rnacentral:tRNA from 1 species